rnacentral:rRNA from 1 species
AGUGAACGCUGGCGGUAGGCCUAACACAUGCAAGUCGAACGGCAGCACAGUAAGAGCUUGCUCUUACGGGUGGCGAGUGGCGGACGGGUGAGGAAUACAUCGGAAUCUACUUUUUUGUGGGGGAUAACGUAGGGAAACUUACGCUAAUACCGCAUACGACCUACGGGUGAAAGCAGGGGAUCUUCGGACCUUGCGCGAUUGAAUGAGCCGAUGUCGGAUUAGCUAGUUGGCGGGGUAAAGGCCCACCAAGGCGACGAUCCGUAGCUGGUCUGAGAGGAUGAUCAGCCACACUGGAACUGAGACACGGUCCAGACUCCUACGGGAGGCAGCAGUGGGGAAUAUUGGACAAUGGGCGCAAGCCUGAUCCAGCCAUACCGCGUGGGUGAAGAAGGCCUUCGGGUUGUAAAGCCCUUUUGUUGGGAAAGAAAAGCAGCAGGUUAAUACCCCGCUGCUCUGACGGUACCCAAAGAAUAAGCACCGGCUAACUUCGUG